CGAUCACAGUGGGCUCCAGAUCUACAAAAACAGCUCUGGGGACGUGCUUUCCAGCUCCGGUCUCACUGAAGAAGGUGUUGAAGGAAUCGUCUCCUCCUCCCAGUGUCUUGUCACUGGGCAUCUGUCCGUCCGGCUGGAUCCCAUGCUCCAGGCAGUAAAGCUCCCAGCAGGCAUUGCCGAUCUGGACGCCGGCCUGUCCAACAUGGAUGGAGAUACACUCACGCUGUGGGAGAAACAAAAGAAUAAUAUAAGUUAUUUACUUCUUUAUACAGUUUGACAUAUUUAUUGCAGUAACUUGAUCAUCUAUUGAGUAAACAAGCUUAUUCUGAUUCUCCUCAUCCCUGGAGUUGCAGCUUUGAUUGACGGAUACCGCAACCAAUCAUCAGUCAGAGAUGGACUAACGGUUGUCAACUUUUCACUUCGUUGCUAUGCUACAAGGCCAUUCAAUUUGGCACCGAAUAACAUUUAUAUGAAUGUGUUUUAACAGGUUGGACCGUUAAUGGAGAGGUUUAUUCGGGUUUCUACGAGCAUCAAAUGACAGCAGAGGAUAAUGCCUUCUGUUAGCCCCGCAUCCCACACGGUUCUCUCUCAGGGGACGUCUAAGAGGUGUCCAUUACUGACAUGAAUUUUUAAUGUUGAAGUCGUGCUUACAGCGCAGAUCACCUAUUCUCCCUGCGGGUACAGUUUCCAUGAGUGUGUGAGAGAAGCUCUUCUCUUCAUCCUCACUGCCGGUAAAUUGAAUCAACUUUAAGUUAGGGGGGACAGCCGCUGUCACGAGAAGUGAUGAAGAGGGCUUAGUCAUCGGAGUGAGAGCAGAAUUUGCCGCAGAGUUAGCGGCUGGCUGACAUUAUUCAUUCUGUUCACAUUACAACCUGCUGAAAACAGCUUUUGUUCGCUCAGCCCGCCACUUAUUCAUGCUGCGUUCACUUGUCCAUCGGAUGAUCUGAUGUUCACUUUAAGAACCAUUCUUCAAAUCGCACCACGAUAAACAUUAAUGUUAUAAUUAUGCUAUGUGUGGUCGACAAAUCGAUAUUAACUUUGGUCCGCCAUUUUCCUGCGUAAUAUGACGUAAAGUGUGUCAGUUCGGAGAGCAGGUGUAGUGCCGUAGAAUGCACCCCAGCAUCCCAUCCUCUCAUUAGCUUCUUAAAGUGGAAGAAAAUGAUCUCAUAUUGAAAAAAACACGAAUACUGGAUCAUGACAACGUGUCAAAUGAAGCAGCAAACUUUCGUCAUGUUAUUUUGUGUCUCAGAAAUGCACUUAUAGAGGUGUAUAUAAACUGUACAGUAAGCUGUCAAGGUAGAGAACAUUAUAUUUACGGGACGGCAAACACUCCGAAUCAGAGGGCUAUUGUUUUCGGCUUAUCUGAACAGCCUGAAUGAAAUCAUUGAAGGCACACGCUUUUGAAUCCAUCCAACGAUUGAGAAAACUUGGAUUAUUUCGCCUCAGUAUGUACUUUCAACCGCAACCGUCAGGGGGUGCAUUCUACGUCAAGGGUGAAUUCUAAAGCACAACACCGGGUACCAGAUUUUCUGACUCCGAGUUUUUUUCCCGGAUGCAGUCAGUUUUCAUCCUUAAUUUAUCUUUCUUUACAAUUACACCAACGCGAUAUGACAUGUAUAUUUCUGAAUUCAAACAUGUCCUCUGAAUAAACCACCUCUUUUUACAACAUUGAUUAAAAAAUGCACUUAUUGGAGAGCGUUAAAGUGAAGAUAACAGUAUUAUAAUCCCUCUAGCUCCCAUUCCCGAAAAAGAUUAAAAUAAAGUAUCUUUAACAUGACUCUGGAUCAAAGUUUAUAAAGUUUUCUCACCAUUUUGUUAUGUUGUUGUCGCGGUGGAGGGUAGCAGAAGCUCCUUGUCAGGGAUUCUUACAAAUCGACAGUUAUGGGGUCGAUGUAAGAGACAAUGGCGCACUGGAGGAUGGAUAGUGGUAUAUAUGCGAGUGCAGAUCCACAGAC